CCUACGGGAGGCAGCAGUGAGGAAUAUUGGUCAAUGGACGAGAGUCUGAACCAGCCAAGUAGCGUGAAGGUUGACUGCCCUAUGGGUUGUAAACUUCUUUUAUAUGGGAAUAAAAUGUUACACGUGUGGGAUUUUGUAUGUACCAUAUGAAUAAGGAUCGGCUAACUCCGUGCCAGCAGCCGCGGUAAUACGGAGGCUCCGAGCGUUAUCCGGAUUUAUUGGGUUUAAAGGGAGCGUAGGUGGAUUGUUAAGUAAGUUGUGAAAGUUUGGGGCUCAACCGUAAAAUUGCAGUUGAAACUGGCAGUCUUGAGUACAGUAGAGGUGGGCGGAAUUCGUGGUGUAGCGGUGAAAUGCGUAGAUAUCACGAAGAACUCCGAUUGCGAAGGCAGUUCACUGGACUGCAACUGACACUGAGGCUCGAAAGUGUGGGUAUCAAACAGGAUUAGAUACCCUUGUAGUC
rnacentral:rRNA from 1 species